rnacentral:misc_RNA from 1 species
AUACCUCAAGCCAGACUCUUUAUUGGGUUCUUGGUUUGGAUUUGGACUUUGCCGUUGACUCAAACGGCUGGUCUCAAAAGCAUUAGCUUGAUCCAUGCUUGUGUGCUUGGUUCUACUCGGCGUGAUAAUUAUCUGACCGCUGAGGACAUUUGCCUUCGAGCGAAUGGCCAGGUGUGCCUUGGGUUGCUUCUAAUCCCGACUUAGCUGUCGGAAAACACACACUUUUCAA